rnacentral:rRNA from 1 species
UACAGAGGUCCCAAGCGUUGUUCGGAUUUACUGGGCGUAAAGAGCGCGCAGGCGGUCGAUCAAGUCGAGUGUGAAAGCCCCCGGCUCAACUGGGGAGGGUCAUUCGAAACUGGUCGACUCGAAGGCAGGAGAGGGUAGUGGAAUUCCCGGUGUAGUGGUGAAAUGCGUAGAUAUCGGGAGGAACACCAGUGGCGAAGGCGACUACCUGGCCUGUUCUUGACGCUGAGGCGCGAAAGCUAGGGAGCAAACGGG